UGCUCUGUCUGUGUGGUUAAAGGCCACUUUUACUUCCAGAGAUGCUUCCUUUGAGUGGGGGCCUGCCAAAAGGAGCCCAACUAGUUCUGCCUUGAGAGAGAGGGCAUGCAGAAGUGGUAGAAGUGAAUGACAUUUAUUUUCUCACUGGACUGGGGUAACUGCUUACAAGAGCAGCUGACUUAAGUUUGGGUAACUGGGUGUUAGAAUCAGUUGUUCUUUAUGCUUUAAUAAGGUAUUUAAUUAAUGAGUUUUUACAAGACUGAAAUUGCAGAUUCACUAACAUAAAUGUAUUUUUCACAAUAUGUGGUACUAGACUCCAGCUACCAGUAGCAAAGUGAUAUAACAAAUGCAUAACGGUUUAUUAUUUUUCAUUUUAAUUGGCUAAGUGUUAAAUUUGCUACAUUUGUGUAUCUUUCUGUAGGCCUUUGCUUAUCUCAGGAAUGUGACCUUUGGUAUAAAAGUGUCUGUUCCUGCGAAAAUUGCCAUUUUGUCUUUGUCUUAGUUUCAAGUGCCUGUCUUUUUAAGCUUUCAAUAAGCGAUCGUGAAGCAACAAGUUUUCAACUCAUUCUUGGACCCCUACUAAAAGAACCUGCGGAUCAGAAAUCAGCAGCUACAACAAUUCUGGUUUCACGAACUGGGUGGUUAUGAAAAACAGUUUGAAAAUUCCUUGGACAAAGAAGGAAAUUUUAGAGUGCACCUAACAGGAGGAAUUCUGCAGAUGCUGGAAAUUCAAGCAACACACAUCAAAGUUGCUGGUGAACGCAGCAGGCCAAGCAGCAUCUAUAGGAAGAGGCGCAGUCGACGUUUCAGGCCGAGACCCUUCGUCAGGACUAACUGAAGGAAGACUGUUAGGGAGAAGGCACGAGGAGGAUGAAGAGAGAAGACGCGACUUGAGUUGGUGGGUUGCCCGACCCUCUGGGCAGGAGCCCAGAGGUUGACAACGAUCGAAGGAGGAUCAGCAAAGGAAAAUCCAUGAGCUCCAAUGAUUUGUGCACUGGACUGUUUAAUAAGCAUCUGCAGAAUUCCUGUUGUUUGCAUUUAAAUUCACUACUGCGAAGCCUCUUCCGGUGAUGCCUACACCGAAGAAGUUUAGAUCCUGUCUUCGACGAGAGGUCAGUGAAACCAUCUCUCACUGCUCCCCAUCUGUAAUUUCUUCGGCUCUUCAACUUUUCGACCACACUUUGACUCAAACUCGCUAUCACAGCCAUAUAUCCUUUCUUGGAACGUGCCUCCGUCGCCAACUUACUCCAGUUGGCUUUAGGAUUCGUUUCCAAGCCUCUCAAUUUGGACCUUCUGAGGAUCCCAGGUACUCACAUUUUAUUGACUCUGCCUCUCGCCGCUUCUCCCGUCAAGCUCUGAAGGCGACGCUCUCCGCCAUGAGGAGGUACUUGGUGUCCCUAUCCCAGACCCUUCCACACCUUCGGGACACUUUCUUCGCCGUCUGUAAUGGUCCUACCCGUUAUUUCAUCCUCCGUCCGAUUCACGCCUGCAAUCGCCGUUUUUUUGACUUUGUCAUGUUAGGCAAAAAUCGCAAGAUCCUACAUCUACGGACUCCAGAGCCUGCCGGCCCCGACGCUAGCAGGCAUGAACUUCAAAUUGCGGCCCCUGCCAUUGAUCUCAGCGGCUCCAACACCUCAGGACAUAUUCAAAACCCGGACUCCAGCAACGACCAUGGACACAUUUGAAGUGUUGCGCAACCACCAACUGCGACUCCAGCCUUGAACUCCAGGCCGGGUCUUUAUGUGCUGCUAUUGUGACUCCUGUCUCCCCUUCCCCCACCACCACUCUGCAGCCCCGUCUUCCUCAGAUCCCACCGUCAGCUCCUGGGCCCUCAGAGGCUCCAUCUUCCUCUCAUCCCAACCCUCCCCUCUCCACUGACACCCCCAGCCUCCCCCCUCCCGCCUCUGAUCCCAGCUCUCAAGAUUCCAGCCUUGAACUCCAGGCCGGGUCUUUACGUGCUGCUAUUGUGACUCCUGUCUCCCCUUCCCCCACCACCACUCCGCAGCCCCGUCUUCCUCAGAUCCCACCGGCAGCUCCUGGGCCCUCAGAGGCUCCAUCUUCCUCUCACCCCAACCCUCCCCUCUCCAUUGACACCCCCAGCCUCCCCCCUCCCCCCUCUGAUCCCAGCUCUCAUCCGUGCCGGGUCUUUACCAUCCCCUCCGACCUUCAACUGUUGGAGGCAGAACGCUCUGUUCUCAGUAAGGGCCUCACGUUUGUCCCCCUUCGCCUACACCUCAGCGAGUUCCGUGUUCGCCACGAUGCGGAACUUGUCUUUCUCCGUCUCCGAGCCUACUUCUUCGGCAAGGACUCUUCCACCCCCACCGAUGACCCCUUCUCCCGUCUUCAACCCUCCUCUUCUUCAUGGACACCCCGCUCUGGUCUUCUGCCUGCUCUGGAUCUCUUUAUUGCUAACUGCCGACGGGACAUCAACUGUCUCGACUUCACCGCACCUUGUCCCCAUUCCAACCUCACUCCUUCGGAACGCUCUGCUGUCCACUCCCUCCGCACUAAUCCUAACAUUAUUAUUAAACCCGCUGAUAAGGGGGGUGCUGUUGUAGUCUGGCGUACUGACCUCUACCUUGCCGAGGCGCAGCGACAACUCGCGGAUACCUCCUCUUAUUUACCCCUCAAUCAUGACCCCACUGAGGAGCACCAGGCCAUUGUCUCCCACACCAUCACCGACUUUAUCCGCUCAGGGGAUCUCCCAUCCACUGCUACCAACCUUAUAGUUCCCACACCCCGCACUUCCCGUUUCUACCUCCUACCCAAGAUCCACAAACCUGCCUGUCCUGGCCGACCUAUUGUCUCAGCUUGCUCCUGCCCCACCGAACUCAUUUCUGCAUACCUCGACACUGUUUUAUCACCCCUUGUUCAAUCCCUUCCUACCUAUGUUCGUGACACUUCUCACGCUCUUAAACUUUUCGAUGAUUUUAAGUUCCCUGGCCCCCACCGCUUUAUUUUCACCAUGAAUGUCCAGUCCUUAUAUACUUCCAUCCCCCAUCAGGAAGGUCUCAAAGCUCUACGCUUCUUUUUGGAUUCCAGACCUAAUCAGUUCCCCUCUACCACCACUCUGCUCCGUCUAGCGGAAUUAGUCCUUACUCUUAAUAAUUUCUCCUUUUGCUCCUCCCAUUUCCUCCAAACUAAAGGUGUAGCUAUGGGCACCCGUAUGGGUCCUAGCUAUGCCUGCCUUUUUGUUGGGUUUGUGGAACAAUCUAUGUUCCGUGCCUAUUCUGGUAUCUGUCCCCCACUUUUCCUUCGCUACAUCGACAACUGCAUUGGCGCUGCUUCCUGCACGCAUGCAGAACUCGUUGACUUUAUUAACUUUGCCUCCAACUUUCACCCUGCCCUCAAGUUUACCUGGGUCCAUUUCUGACACCUCCCUCCCCUUUCUAGAUCUUUCCGUCUCUGUCUCUGGAGACAGCUUAUCCACUGAUGUCUACUAUAAGCCUACUGACUCUCACAGCUAUCUGGACUAUUCCUCUUCUCACCCUGUCUCUUGCAAAAACGCCAUCCCCUUCUCGCAAUUCCUCCGUCUCCGCCGCAUCUGCUCUCAGGAUGAGGCUUUUCAUUCUAGGAUGAGGGAGAUGUCUUCAUUUUUUAAAGAAAGGGGCUUCCCUUCCUCCACUAUCAAUUCUGCUCUUAAACGCAUCUCCCCCAUUUCACGUACAUCUGCUCUCACUCCAUCCUCCCACCACCCCACUAGGAAUAGGGUUCCCCUGGUCCUCACCUACUACCCCACCAGCCUCCGGGUCCAACAUAUUAUUCUCCGUAACUUCUGCCACCUCUAACGGGAUCCCACCACUUAGCACAUCUUUCCCUCCCCCCCCCUGCAUUCCGCAGGGAUCGCUCCCUACACAACUCCCUUGUCCAUUCGUCCCCCCCAUCCCUCCCCACUGAUCUCCCUCCUGGCACUUAUCCGUGUAAGCGGAACAAGUGCAACACAUGCCCUUACACUUCCUCCCUUGCCACCAUUCAAGGCCCCAAACAGUCCUUCCAGGUGAGGCAUCACUUCACCUGUGAGUCAACUGGGGUGAUAUACUGCAUCCGGUGCUCCCGAUGUGGCCUUUUAUGUAUUGGUGAGACCUGACGCAGACUGGGAGACCGCUUUGCUGAACAUCUACGCUCUGUCCGCCAGAGAAAGCAGGAUCUCCCAGUGGCCACACAUUUUAAUUCCACGUCCCAUUCCCAUUCUGACAUGUCUAUCCACGGCCUCCUCUACUGUAAAGAUGAAGCCACACUCAGGUUGGAGGAACAACACCUUAUAUUCCGUCUGGGUAGCCUCCAACCUGAUGGCAUGAACAUUGACUUCUCUAACUUCCGCUAAGGCCCCACCUCCCCCUCGUACCCCAUCUGUUACUCAUUUUUAUGCACACAUUCUUUCUCUCACUCUCCUUUUUCUCCCUCUGUCCCUCUGAAUAUACCUCUUGCCCAUCCUCUGGGUCACCCCCCCCCUUGUCUUUCUUCCCGGACCUCCUGUCCCAUGAUCCUCUCGUAUCCCCUUCUGCCUAUCACCUGUCCAGCUCUCGGCUCUAUCCCUCCCCCUCCUGUCUUCUCCUAUCAUUUUGGAUCUCCCCCUCCCCCUCCAGCUUUCAAACCCCUUACUCACUCUUCCUUCAGUUAGUCCUGACGAAGGGUCUCGGCCUGAAACGUCGACUGCACCUCUUCCUAUAGAUGCUGCUUGGCCUGCUGCAUUCACCAGCAACUUUGAUGCAUGUUGUUAGUUAUAAAAUCUUACUUGUCUAACCACAUAUCAUGUACUGUCUGUUAUUUCGGGGUACUGAUCUGACAUGGGACACAUCACGCAGCAUCCACCCAAACAAGAAUUCUAAAGUUUGGCUGGGCAGGGGCAUCAUAACCCUGGAGAUUAUGCCACUAGGCAAAGUGAGUGUUACAUUUCAAAAAGAGAAUGUUGUACUCAAGCCACUAUUGCAAACUGCGACAAAAAUAUUGCAGCAAUGCUGUGAUUUCAAAUGUCAUUUCUGAGAAAGUUAAGACUUUCAGUUAACACAUUCACUGAUAUGAUGAACUACAUGCUUAGAAAUGAAGAAUUUGAAGAACUAUCAAUUUCUUGCUAUAGUUGAAACAUUUCAAGCUUGUAGUGCUGACUGAGAACAUUAAUUCAGUCUUAUGAAUUCAUUUAAAUGUAAAACCAGAAACAGGAAUAUUUCUAUGAUCUAAUGAGGAUUAAGUUGCACCUUUCACCUGGACAGUGUUUAUAAACAAUGGAUUUGUAAUUAAGACAGAC